rnacentral:tRNA from 1 species
GCACUGGUAGCACAAUGGUCAAGCACUCAGCUACUAACUGAAAGGUUGGUGGUUCGAACCCACCCAGCAGCU